UACGGAGGGGGCGAGCGUUGUCCGAAUUUAUUGGGCGUAAAGCGCGUGUAGGCGGGUGAUCAAGCCUGUGGUGAAAGGUUGGGGCUCAACCCCAAGAGUGCCGUGGGGACUGGUCGCCUGGAGGCAGGCAGAGGAGAGCGGAAUUCCUGGUGUAGCGGUGGAAUGCGUAGAGAUCAGGAAGAACACCCGUGGCGAAGGCGGCUCUCUGGGCCUGUCCUGACGCUGAGACGCGAAAGCGUGGGGAGCGAACAGG
rnacentral:rRNA from 1 species